rnacentral:pre_miRNA from 1 species
UGUUAAAAGUUUUAUUCAUUUUUAUUGUUAAAAAUUGAUGUGACUGAUAAAAUAAUCAGACAAUUAUAUGUGCAUAUAUCUUAUUCUGGCAUAUAGUGAUAAAGUUUUAAAAGUAUAAAUAAAUAAAAAAUUUUAAUA